UACGUAGGGGGCAAGCGUUGUCCGGAAUUAUUGGGCGUAAAGAGCGCGUAGGCGGUCCGAUAAGUCGGCUGUGAAAGUCCAGGGCUCAACCCUGGAAAGCCGGCCGAUACUGUCGGACUAGAGUCCGGAAGAGGCGAGUGGAAUUCCCGGUGUAGCGGUGAAAUGCGCAGAUAUCGGGAGGAACACCUGUGGCGAAAGCGGCUCACUGGACCACAACUGACGCUGAGGCGCGACGGCGUGGGGAGCAAACCGG
rnacentral:rRNA from 1 species